rnacentral:rRNA from 1 species
GACGUAGGGCGCGAGCGUUGUCCGGAAUUAUUGGGCGUAAAGAGCUCGUAGGCGGCUUGUCGCGUCGGAUGUGAAAGCCCGGGGCUUAACCCCGGGUCUGCAUUCGAUACGGGCAGGCUAGAGUUCGGUAGGGGAGAUCGGAAUUCCUGGUGUAGCGGUGAAAUGCGCAGAUAUCAGGAGGAACACCGGUGGCGAAGGCGGAUCUCUGGGCCGAUACUGACGCUGAGGAGCGAAAGCGUGGGGAGCGAACAGG